UACAGAGGGUGCGAGCGUUAAUCGGAAUUACUGGGCGUAAAGUGUGCGCAGGCGGCAGAGCAAGUCGAGUGUGAAAGCCCCGGGCUUAACUUGGGAAUUGCGCUCGAAACUACUUUGCUGGAGUGUGGUAGAGGAAGGUGGAAUUCCACGUGUAGCGGUGAAAUGCGUAGAGAUGUGGAGGAACACCAAUGGCGAAGGCAGCCUUCUGGGCCAACACUGACGCUCAUGCACGAAAGCGUGGGGAGCAAACGGG
rnacentral:rRNA from 1 species